AUGUUUCAGAUUCAUCACUGCCGCUUUCCGUUUUACUCUUUUUCUGAAGUAAAUAGCUUCAUUCUUAUGCUUCACAAUUUCCAGUGGGAAAAAUCACAUUUCAUAUUUCCAACGCUAUAUUGUAUCACAAUGAACAGAGUGAAGAGAAUGACCAUCCAGAGUACAUCAUCCACGGUGAGCACAUGCCUUAUUUCUCACAGGAUCAUAAUCUACCAUGUAUCACCAUACUUCUUUAUCGACUGCCUUCAACUAUUCACUACACCUGCUAGAUCAACAUUUAUUUCCUUUGCUUCUCAUUGCUCUCUUCUACUUUUGCUUAUCCAAUGUUUCUUUUCUUUUGUACUGUUUACUUUCAACAUGUAA
rnacentral:rRNA from 1 species